rnacentral:lncRNA from 1 species
ACAGACAUAGUAAAUGUACACCGACUAAUCUAUUUGCUCCCCACACCUGCAUCUUUUUCACCCUAAUUUCUUGAAAAUUAAACAAAUAAUCAAACAUUUUGUACCUUCCAAUGUUGUCUAGAAUAAGGGCAAAUAUAUACAGUACAUUUAACAGAAAUCAAUAUUUAACCUGGUGUUUCAUUAAAUAAAGGCUUGGAAUAGAAGCAGAAAUUAAAGAGAUGCCCUUAGCAAACAUGUUCAGUGCCGCUGGGUUCCAAGUGCCCUACAUUUAAUUACCUAGACGGGGGCUCUGUUGUGUUUAGAGAGAUGGGAUCCACUGAAAGGAAACUGCACAUAGAUGUACAAAACAGGGAAUGCAGAGCCCAGGGUGAUAGCUCACUCAGUAAGAGGACUUCCUGGCUAGUCAUGAGGACCUGAGUUCAGAUCCCCAAGAGCGUACUUAAAGAUAAAGGUGUGCUUGCUUGCUCACCUCUAACCCCAUACUGUGGAAGGUUGGGGUGGGAUUGCUAGGGCACAUACAGGUGCACACACCAUAUGUACACACUCAUACACACCCCCACAAAAGUGACUAUGAAUAGCCACUUUUAAAAGAAACUUGUAAUGCUAGGAGCUGCCCCCUGCAUCUAGUAGAAAUGUUCUAGAAGGUUUUCCUUGAGUUGGGGGGCAUCUCCGGCUCAGGAACAGGCAGGUGUGCUGACUCAUUAUUGCUGCAUAGUAUGCAGACCAAAUGGAACGUCUUCAGAGAUCACAGCCAAGGGCAGAGGAAAAUCGAAAGUCAUAAGCCCGAGUCCUUUACACAGCUGUAUUUCUGUUACCUUUCCACAAAUGCUUAUUGUACAAAGCACAGCAUACAUAGAACAGGAAGUGAUCCCCAGAGCAGCCACUUCAGCAUCCCUGCAGGCAGCAGAGGACAGCAGCCAGCCAUGUCCCAGUACCCUAGCUCCCUGAGGUUAUAGAGGAAGGCGCUGUUUGACAGAGUGAAGCCUUACGGAGAAAUCAGAGACCUCUCCCCUACCUGUAAUUCUCUGGCCUGGCCACCUUGGGGCGAGUAGUUCAACCCACCAAAUCUGUGUGACAACUACGUUAGAAACAUGAUACUUUUCUUAAAAUCAUUUAAGAAGCAACUGAGUUUUAACAUUUUUUUCCUGAAUCGAAGUCUUCUUUUUGUGUGAAAUGUUUGUUAUGAAAUACAGUUCUAUAAAUCUCAAGAUUAUUUUAAGAGAAAAUACAUUAAGCCAGUUGAUUUACUUUGUAUUUCUUGUCUUAACAAUAGAAGUAUUGGGAGCUGGAGAGAUGGCUCAGCGGUUAAGAGCACUGACUGCUCUACCUAAAUUCAAAUCCCAGCAACCACAUGGUGGUUCACAACCAUCUGUAGUGAGAUCUGACACCCUCUUCUGGGGUGUCUGAAGACAGCUAUGGUAUACUUAGAUAUAAUAAUAAAUAAAUCUUUAUUUUUUUUUAUUUAUUUAUUUAUUUUAUUUUAUUUUAUUUUUUGGUUUUUCGAGACAGGGUUUCCCUGUGUAGCCCUGGCUGUCCUGGAACUCGCUCUGUAGACCAGGCUGGCCUCGAACUCAGAAAUCCACCUGCCUCUGCCUCCCGAGUGCUGGGAUUAAAGGCGUACACCACCACGCCCAGCAUAAAUCUUAAAAAAAAAAAUAGAAGUAUCUGACCUUUCUGAAAACAUUAAAGCAAUUACACUGGCUUAGGUCUGUGCUUGGGUUUCAGGUAUGUUUAGCGCUUUCGCCUGACACACAAUGCUUUUCAGUUUUACUACUACACCGUGAGAAGAAGCAAAGCCUAGCAAAGCAGUGUGAGGCGGUGGGCCGGGGAGGUCGCCUGAGGACGAGCGUUCCAUCCGACACUGCAAAGGAAAGCAGAGGCAGACUGUCCUUAGACACACCAUGCUUGGGGGUUAUGUUGCUUUCAUGGUGUUUUUAAUAUUAUUAAGAAAUUAUGGAAAGGCUUAUUUUGACCUGAUAAACUGUUUAUACUCUCUUUGCCCCAUAAUAAUAAUUUGAUUUAAGAAAGUUUAUUUAGGGUGCGAGGGAGCUAGCCCAGAGAGAGGUUAAGAGAGCACUGGCUGCUCUUCUUGACCACCAGGCUCACUUCUCAGCUCCUACAUGAUGGUUUACAACAUGCUGUAACUCCAGUUCCACUUACAUAUGUUUGGGCAAAAUACACAAAAUUAAAAAUAAAAACAAAUUUUUAAAAAUAAAGGAUAGUUUGAGUUUCCAAGCUGUUAUUCUUUGUCAU